rnacentral:rRNA from 1 species
CCUACGGGUCGCACCAGUGGGGAAUAUUGCACAAUGGGCGCAAGCCUGAUGCAGCCAUGCCGCGUGUAUGAAGAAGGCCUUCGGGUUGUAAAGCACUUUCAGUAGGGAGGAAGGUAGUGUAGUUAACACCUGCAUUAUUUGACGUUACCUACAGAAGAAGCACCGGCUAACUCCGUGCCAGCAGCCGCGGUAAUACGGAGGGUGCGAGCGUUAAUCGGAAUUACUGGGCGUAAAGCGCAUGCAGGCGGCCUGUUAAGUCAGAUGUGAAAGCCCGGGGCUUAACCUCGGAAUUGCAUUUGAAACUGGCAGGCUAGAGUCUUGUAGAGGGGGGUAGAAUUUCAGGUGUAGCGGUGAAAUGCGUAGAGAUCUGAAGGAAUACCAGUGGCGAAGGCGGCCCCCUGGACAAAGACUGACGCUCAGAUGCGAAAGCGUGGGGAGCAAACAGGAUUAGAUACCCGCGUAGUC